AGCAGCCGCGGUAAUUCCAGCUCCAAUAGCGUAUAUUAAAGUUGUUGCAGUUAAAAAGCUCGUAGUUGAAUUUCGGGGUUAGUAGGUUGGUCAUGCCUCUGGUAUGUACUGGUCUCACUGAUUCCUCCUUCCUGAUGAGCCGUAAUGCCAUUAAUUUGGUGUUGCGGGGAAUUUGGACUGUUACUUUGAAAAAAUUAGAGUGUUUAAAGCAAGCUAACGCUUGAAUACAUUAGCAUGGAAUAAUGAAAUAGGACGUUCGAUCCUAUUUUGUUGGUUUCUAGGAUUGACGUAAUGAUUAAUAGGGAUAGUUGGGGGCAUUAGUAUUCAAUUGUCAGAGGUGAAAUUCUUGGAUCGUCGCAAGACGAACUACUGCGAAAGCAUUUGCCAAGAAUGUUUUCAUUAAUCAAGAACGAAAGUUAGAGGUUCGAAGGCGAUCAGAUACCGCCCUAGUUCUAACCGUAAACGAUGCCAACUAGCGAUCUGUGGAGCAUAAUUUUAUGACUCCACAGGAAGCUUCCGGGAAACCAAAGUGUUUGGG
rnacentral:rRNA from 1 species